AACCUGGUUGAUCCUGCCAGUAGUCAUACGCUCGUCUCAAAGAUUAAGCCAUGCAUGUGUAAGUUCAAUGAUUUGACCAAAAAACUGCGAAUGGCUCAUUAUAUCAGUUAUAGUUUAUUUGGUAGUCCCUUACUACUUGGAUACCCGUAGUAAUUCUAGAGCUAAUACAUGCGUAAACACUCGACCUUUGGAAGAGUGGUAUUUAUUAGAUUGAAAC
rnacentral:rRNA from 1 species